UCUCGACAAAGGCUGAGCCAGAGUGGGUGCUUUCUGUGCGCUGUACUGCUGCAUUGCAAUGGGAGAUCCGAGAGGCACAGCACCAGCUCACUGUCUCAGGGCUCCACCGCAUCUCCUCCUGAGCUCACUGCUCGCUCCCUCAGCGAGAGUCUGAUGCCUGCCUCCUGAGCUCCAUUAUGCUGGGGAAAAGUUACACACUCUCCUCAGCUCAGAUCUCCUCACUGACUGCAAUGGGCCAGAUUAUAGUGAUCUGAACUAGCGCCUAUUCGGGGUGCCUGAAGUGAGAGAGUAACCCACC